rnacentral:lncRNA from 1 species
AUAUAAAAAUAUGUUAUUCUUAGGCCUUGUCUGUCACUGGGCCUCGCCCGCUAUAUGUAUACAGUCAAUAUCGCAUAAUCAUGCUAACACAUAUAAUAAUCAUAAAUUCUAAGAUAUGUGUGACAUCCCCAUAAUCUCGGCCAAAAAAGACCGAUUUUCAUUUAUGCUUUUAAAUAUUUUCAGAGUAAAUCCUUUUGAUUUGAAAGAGUUGCGGAAUUUGUUCCCAAAAACAAAACAUGAUAAAACAUUGUUUACCGAAGCAUUUCAUAAAAGAAAUGUAUUUUCAUUAUAAUCAAAACUCGGGGUGUCAUGUUCCGAUACAGACCAAUAAGCAUAAACGAAUACAUUACAAGUCAUAUAACAAAUAUAAACAUAUGCAGACUUGUAAACAAAACAACUUGAUGGUUCAUCCAUCUCAUGCCCUUCCGCCACUACCUGUAAUACAAUUUAAAACUGAGUGGGUCAGGCUUGGGAGCCUGGUGAGCAUAUAGGGUUUUCAACCCACAAUAAAUAUCAUAUUUAAUUUUCACCAACCAACAAUAACCCAAUUACCCAUUCCCGUUAUUCUCACUUUAAUGUCCCUAAAACAACUAACAUAAGGGACCUAGUCUAAGAAUAUUUCAUCGGGGCGACAACACAUGCUUCGGGGGUACCUCAGCAAUAUAAGUCAAAUAAGGCAACCAUGAGGGGGAUGGAGUACAGCGAAUGAACACCCAAGUUCAUUAACACCUACAGGUGGCGAACCUGCUAAUGUUUCCACAAGACUGUCUAGAAUAGCCAGUGGUCGUCAUCUAAACUCCGCUAGAUGACUCAAUCAAACAACAACGAGGCCUCUCAUCUGUUUAUUACACACCAACUGUCUACCCAUGUUCUACCCAACAUAUUAGUAGAUAAAAAUAUACAUUUGUAUACAUAGUUUAAAGAAAACCUGUAUAGCAUGCUUUAAUCAACACAUAUAUCACAUAACAGAUGAGGCACACACACACAUAACACAUAUCUCAUAAAGAAAUAAGCAGAUCUAUAAGAUAGAAGAGAGUGAAUACUCAUUCACACAUAACACAACCAAAUAUAUACACAUAGCACGUAUUUUUAUAUAAAAUACUUCGUAUUAUUGUAUUAGAAGAAAUAACUACACACUCACUUGAUCAGAAGAUGAUCGGACAGCACUACGGCUUAUAGAAGUAGUAAUCCACAGCAGAUCUGGAAGAUCUUCUCGAAAAUCGAACUUCUCGCGGGCAGAGCUUCGACUCGGGAACCGCACUUUUCGGGAUCUUCGGGAUCUCGGGACUUGCCUCGGGGCUAGAGUAUGAUACCGGGACUUCGGGGUAGCUUCGGGGGUUUUUGCACAGAGCUUCGACACGAAAACGAGAGGGAAUUGGCAAAAAUACCCGGAACCCUCGCAUCCUAUUUAUAGGAGGCUGGAGCCUCGGAGUACGCGGGGCGUACUGCGUUACGCGGGGCGUACUGCCCAAAACGUCAUUGCUUACGUAUCCGAAGUGCUCGAGUGCGAGUGUCGACAUCCCUCGGAGUACGCGGGGCGUACUCGAGUACGCGGGGCGUACCUCGGAUCAGAUCGGUGACUCCUUCGGAUAAUGCUUCCGAAUUUUGAUUUAAAUAUAAAUACAAAAUGAUUAAUAAACUUCGGAAAUUCAUAACUUCUUCAUACGAACUCCGUUUUCGACGUUCUUUAUAUCCACGCGAAGGUGAGACCACGCUCUACGACUUUCGUUUAGACUCCGUCGGCUAAUUUUGACUUUAUUUUUAUUAAUUAUUUUUAAUAGGCCGGGACAGAAACUUUCGUUAUAAAUUCAUAACUUCUUCGUUUGACGUCCGUUCUCGCCUAACUUUUUAUCGUUUCAAUACCAACAAUGAGAUCUUCGAUUCUCAUUUAGAUUGCUUCGGCUAACAACCGCUCGAUCUCAAAUCGAGUAAAACAGGCUGUAUAUCGCUAAGCCGGAACUUCGAUAAAUCAUAACUUCCUCAUACGAAGUCAGAUUUGGGCGUUCUAUAUAUAUUCGGAAACCUCGUUUCAACUACUACAACAUUAACCAAAUAUAUUAAGUUUAUUUUACACUUAAAUUUUGACGCUUAUUUUUAUUCUUAAUUAAUCAAACCACAUAAUUAAGCAAUUAAGCACAAAACACACAAUACUCAAAUAAUACAAUCUUAUUAUUUCAAAACGGGUUACAGAGGUUAACCUAGACUAUUACAUUGCUACAAAUGGCAAGCCCGAAACACAGGCGUUACAAUUCUCUCCACCUUAGAAUGAUUCCGUCCCCGGAAUCACACAUCAACAAACAAAUGCGGAUAGCGACUCAACAUGUCACUCUCCGUCUCCCAGGUGAGAUUCGGCCCAUUCGUGUGUUUCCAUCGGACAAGCACUAACCCAACCAUUUUGCGUCGCAACUUCUUAGUCUUUCGGUCAACAAUUGCCUCUGGUUCUUCAAUCAACCUUUUGUUCUCAUCAAUUCUCAAUUCAGAAAUUGGAAUUAUAUCGGGAACUUCUCCCGUGAACUUCCUCAAAUAACACACAUGAAAGGUGUUGUGAAUUCCAUUCAGUUCUUCGGGUAAUUCGAGCUUGUAAGCUUGAUUCCCAAUCCUCUGAAGGACUCUAAACGGUCCAAUAAACCUUGGACUCAACUUUCCCCUUUUACCAAAUCUUAUAAGUCCCUUCCACGGCGAGACUUUAAGCAAAACCGAAUCUCCAACCUCAAAAGUCAUCGGUCUUCGCUUCUUGUCAGCAUAGCUCUUUUGACGAUCUUGAGCUGCUAACAUUCUUUCCCUAAUUAUUUUCAACUUUUCAGCAGUUUGAUGAACCAACUCCGGUCCCAUAAACUGCUUUUCCCCAGCCUCAAGCCAACAAGACGGCGUACGACACUUCUGUCCAUACAAAGCUUGAUAAGGUGCCAUCUUAAUGCUCGAGUGAAAACUAUUAUUAUAGGAAAAUUCUACCAACGGUAAAUGUUCAUCCCAAUUACCUAGGAAUUCCAAGGUACAUGCUCUCAGCAUAUCUUCAAGUGUUUGUAUUGUUCUUUCACUCUGACCAUCAGUCUGCGGAUGGUAAGCUGUGCUUAAACAUAACUUGGUACCCAUUUCCUCUUGUAGACUUUUCCAAAACCUUGAGGUGAAACGGCUAUCACGAUCCGAUACAAUCGUUAACGGAACACCGUGAAGCCUCACAAUUUCCUUCACGUAAGAAUUCGCAAGCUUUUCCAUAGACCAUUUCUCCCUGGCCGCUAUGAAAUGCGCACUCUUAGUGAAUCGAUCAACGACCACCCAAAUCAUGUCGUGACCAUUCUUUGUUCUGGGCAGUUUAGUGACAAAAUCCAUAGCAAUGUCUUCCCACUUACCCAUAGGCACAGGCAAAGGUUCUAAACUCCCGUACGGUUUCUGAUGUUGUGUCUUGACUCUCGCACAAGUCACACACUCGGCCACAUACUUUGCAACAUCAAGCUUCAUCGUCGGCCACCAGUAGUAGGGUUUCAGGUCCCUAUACAUUUUAGUGCUACCCGGAUGAAUCGAGUACAUGGUCUUGUGAGCUUCUUCCAUCAGAAGAUCUCUAAUUCCUCCUGACUUAGGUACCCAAAUACGAUCUUGGAAUACCUUCAGUCCAUGACCGUUAGUACCAAACACCAACGUUUUACCCAAACGUUCCUCCUUUCGGUCAUUUUUCUCAGAAGCUUCCUCUUGAGCUUUCUUUAUACUUUCCACAAUGGUCGAGACAACUUCAAUUCUCAACGCUCUUGGCCUCUUCCUUUCAAGAUUGACCUUCCGACUGAGAGCAUCAGCAACAACAUUAGCUUUACCGGGGUGGUAAAGUAUCUCGCAGUCGUAGUCUUUAAGUAAUUCUAGCCAGCGUCGUUGCCUCAUAUUCAAUUCUUUCUGAUUAAAGAGGUAUUGGAGACUCUUAUGAUCAGUGAAAAGUUUGCACUUCGUGCCAUAGAGGUAAUGCCUCCAUAUUUUCAGAGCGAAAACUACCGCUGCCAACUCCAAAUCAUGAGUCGGGUAAUUCUUUUCAUGCUCUUUCAGCUGUCGAGACGCAUAUGCUAUCACCUUUUCUCUUUGGGUCAAAACACAACCCAAUCCAACACCAGACGCAUCGCUAUAAACAGCGAAGUCUUCAACUCCAUCGGGUAGAGAAAGUAUCGGUGCCUCGCAUAGCUUCUUCUUUAACUUCUCGAAUGCUUCUUUAUGCUUCUCACUCCAAGCAUAAGUAGCUCCUUUGUGGGUCAAAGCUGUUAAUGGAGUAGCAAUCGAAGAAAAGCCUUGGAUAAACCUUCGGUAAUAUCCGGCUAAUCCUAAAAAGCUUCGAAUCUCCGUGGGACUUUUCGGUUGUUCCCACUUCGUCACAGCUUCGAUCUUCGCUGGAUCAACCAUUAUCCCUUCUUGGUUGACCACGUGACCCAAGAAUUGGACUUCACGAAUCCAAAAAUCACAUUUGGAGAACUUCGCAUAAAGCUUCUCCUUCUUCAAAACUUCUAACACUUCUCGCAAGUGUCUGCCAUGCUCCUCCUGGCUUUUCGAGUAGAUCAGAAUGUCGUCUAUGAACACUAUCACGGAUUUAUCAAGGAAAGGAUUACAAACCCUAUUCAUCAAAUCCAUGAACGCUGCUGGAGCAUUGGUUAGUCCAAACGACAUAACCAAGAACUCGUAGUGUCCAUAUCUAGUUCUGAAUGCAGUCUUCUCGAUAUCUUGCUCUCUUACUUUCAGCUGAUGAUAUCCUGACCUAAGAUCGAUCUUCGAGAAAUAGCUCGAACCUUGCAAUUGAUCAAACAGGUCAUCAAUCCUCGGCAACGGAUAUCUAUUCUUUAUUGUUGCCUUGUUCAGCUCUCUGUAAUCGAUGCACAUUCUCAUACUUCCAUCUUUCUUCUUUACAAAUAACACCGGAGCUCCCCAGGGCGAUGAACUAGGUCUAAUGAAACCUUUGUCCAAUAACUCCUGAAGUUGCAUCAUUAGCUCCUUCAUCUCCGUCGGUGCUAAUCGAUAAGGUGCUUUUGCUAUUGGCGUGGUUCCUGGUAACAAGUCUAUUCUGAACUCCACUUGUCUAUCAGGUGGUAAUCCAGGAAGAUCCUCGGGAAAUACUUCCGGAUAAUCACACACCACUGGAAUGCUCUGCAUCACCUUCUUUUCUUUCUUAGCAUCAAUCACGAAUGCUAAAUAUGAUGUACAUCCCUUGGUCAAACACUUUCUGGCUUUCAUUAGAGAAAUGAUUCCAGAAUUCACUCUGCGUUUGUCCCCAUACACCAUAAACGAAUCUUUUCCAGGCGGGUUUACUUUAACUAUCUUCUUCUUGCACAAAAUUUCGGCAUCAUUGGCGCUAAGCCAAUCCAUUCCCAAGACGAUGUCGAAACCAUUUAGUUCGAUAGGCAAUAAUUCCUCGAGAAACUUAUUCCCAUUAAGGUCGAUCAAGACGUUUUUCAUACGAUGGCUAACAGGUACAAACUUGCCACUAGCUACUUCGACUAAUAAAGCAUUAUUUAGUCUAUCAACAGGCAAAGCUAGCUUUCUACCAAACUCAUGCGAAAUAAAGGAGUAGUUGGCUCCAGAAUCAAACAAUAUAUGAGCAGGUAAUUCGUUUACGAGAAAGGUACCUGAAGCGACAUCAGCUUCAUCUUUCGCAGCCUCAAGUGUCAUCUGGAAGGCUCUCGCCUUCGGCUUUGGUGGAAUGUUGGGCCUAGCUGCCUCCUUCUUCUUCGGACAGUCUUUCAAAAUAUGCCCCUCUUCAUUACAACCAAAACACAUCCUUUUGUUGUUCGGACAUUCAUUGGCAAAAUGUCCAACCUUUCCACACUUGUAGCAGGUCACAUCCUCGCUACAUUUCCCAAAGUGCUUUUUCUUACACUUAUCACACCACUUUGCUUCGCCUCCUUUUCCUCCAAACUUUUUCGAAUCAGAUUUCGAAAAUUUGCUCUUCUUACUGGAACCAGAUGUUCCUUCAAACUUCCUUUUCUCACCAACCUCAACCUUGACGGUGGUUCUCCCCUUGAUCAUGUUCUCCACAGACUUGGCAGCCCAGAUAGCUGCCUCUAGAGUAAGUGCCUGACGUACCGGCACCUCGUACUCCCAUGGAAGUCCCUUCGCAUACCGAUCCACCUUUGUCAGCUCGUCUGGAACGAUACGCAAGGCAAACUCCAUCUUAUCGGUGAAGUUAUUGGUGUAUUCAUCAACUGACAUGCUACCCUUCGUCAAUGUCAAAAACUUAUUCUCCAACUCCAACAGAUUUUGAGCCGAGCAGAACUUGCGCUUGAACUGCACCAAGAACUCUGCCCAUGACAAUUGCAGUGGCUCAUUAGGGCUUAAGGUCUUCCCUAGAGUGUUCCACCAACGAACGGCUCCACCUCGGAAUUGUCGCACGGCAUAGAUAGUCUGCAACUUACCUCUGCAGCCACAUGUCAUAAAGGCUAACUCCAUUUCGGAGAUCCAAUCCAUAACCCCAAUCGGAUCCUCCUUUCCAUUGAAGGUCGAUGGUUUGCAAGUCAAAAAGUCCUUGUACUUGCAUCCCAUUCCAUCAUUCCUUCCUUCAUGGUUAUCUUGCCUAACUAUCGGUGGGUUGGCUGGACCAACAGACCCACUGAAGUUUCCACCUUCCGAGUGCCCUUCAUUUAAUUCAGGCUCUUCCACACGAAUCGACAGUUCUUCACGAUUUUGUUGAAGCAACCGUCUAGUUUCAUCCAUCUGACGAUCCAACAUCGUCUGAAUCAUCAAUUGCACACCAGCCAUGGUUAUUGGCUCAGGUGCUGCUGCUACGACAGGUAUUGGCUCAAUCACUGGUGGUUGAUUCCUGUUUUCGUCAGCAUUUCCAACUCCACUUCUUGUUCUCACCAUUUUGAUCUACACCCCGAAUAAGGUGAAAUUAGAUCCUCAAUCAUGAUAGAUAUUCAAAUCAUCCUUAUCACUCCGAAACGUUUACAUGCUAGUUCUAAUAUCGUAGACGUACGCUUAGAAUCCUACACACAUAAGGUUUCUAGAUCCGGUCGGCAACAGACCAUAGAUCCGAACAAAUAAUAUCAUAUAUGGCAACAUAUAACAUUUAGCACAUAAAGCAUUUUAGGCAACUUUCCUAAAAUAAACUAGUGCUCGUGUCUAAAACACAACAGACACACAUCUCAAAACUUCACUUAGCAUUCUAAGUUUAAGUCUAGAAAUCCUACAAAUUCCUAGUUCGCUUAAACUAAUGCUCUGAUACCAACUGUGACAUCCCCAAAAUCUCGGCCAGAAAAGACCGAUUUUCAUUUAUGCUUUUAAAUAUUUUCAGAGUAAAUCCUUUUGAUUUGAAAGAGUUGCGGAAUUUGUUCCCAAAAACAAAACAUGAUAAAACAUUGUUUACCGAAGCAUUUCAUAAAAGAAAUGUAUUUUCAUUAUAAUCAAAACUCGGGGUGUCAUGUUCCGAUACAGACCAAUAAGCAUAAACGAAUACAUUACAAGUCAUAUAACAAAUAUAAACAUAUGCAGACUUGUAAACAAAACAACUUGAUGGUUCAUCCAUCUCAUGCCCUUCCGCCACUACCUGUAAUACAAUUUAAAACUGAGUGGGUCAGGCUUGGGAGCCUGGUGAGCAUAUAGGGUUUUCAACCCACAAUAAAUAAUCAUAUUUAAUUUUCACCAAUAAACAAUAACCCAAUUACCCAUUCCUAUUAUUCUCACUUUAAUGUCCCUAAAACAACUAACAUAAGGG